CUGGUCUUAGUCAAGUGGUUACCACAACAGGUUCAAAAUCUGUUUAUCUUGAACUGCGCAGGCUCGAAACCUGCCGACAACA